CCUACGGGAGGCAGCAGUGGGGAAUAUUGCACAAUGGGGGAAACCCUGAUGCAGCGACGCCGCGUGAAGGAUGAAGUAUUUCGGUAUGUAAACUUCUAUCAGCAGGGAAGAAAAUGACGGUACCUGACUAAGAAGCCCCGGCUAACUACGUGCCAGCAGCCGCGGUAAUACGUAGGGGGCAAGCGUUAUCCGGAUUUACUGGGUGUAAAGGGAGCGUAGACGGGAUGGCAAGUCUGAUGUGAAAACCCGGGGCUCAACCCCGGGACUGCAUUGGAAACUGUCAGGCUAGAGUGUCGGAGAGGCAAGUGGAAUGCCUAGUGUAGCGGUGAAAUGCGUAGAUAUUAGGAGGAACACCAGUGGCGAAGGCGGCCUGCUGGACGAUGACUGACGUUGAGGCUCGAAAGCGUGGGGAGCAAACAGGAUUAGAUACCCUAGUAGUC
rnacentral:rRNA from 1 species